rfam:Oryza sativa Japonica Group DNA, chromosome 7, cultivar: Nipponbare, complete sequence.
AAUACUUGUCGCUUUGAGUUUUUGUUUGUAAUGUUUGAUCAUUCGUCUUAUUCAAAAAAAUUAUGAAACUAUUAUUUAUUUUGUUUGUAACUCGCUUUAUUAAAAAAUAUUUUAAGUAUGACUUAUCAUUUUUUGUAUUUGCACUAAUUUUUCAAAUAAGACAAAUGGUCAAACAUUGUAAGUAAAAAGUCAAAGCGACCACUAAU